CCUACGUGGUGCAGCAGUGGGGAAUAUUGCGCAAUGGGCGAAAGCCUGACGCAGCGACGCCGCGUGAGGGAUGAAGGUCUUCGGAUCGUAAACCUCUGUCAGCAGGGAAGAACGGUCACUGUGCUAAUCAGCAGUGAAUUGACGGUACCUGCAAAGGAAGCACCGGCUAACUCCGUGCCAGCAGCCGCGGUAAUACGGAGGGUGCGAGCGUUAAUCGGAAUUACUGGGCGUAAAGCGCUCGUAGGCGGUAUGUCAAGUCAAGGGUGAAAUCCCCGCGCUCAACGUGGGAACUGCCUUUGAAACUGGCAAACUGGAGUGUGUGAGAGGAUAGUGGAAUUCCAGGUGUAGGAGGGAAAUCCGUAGAUAUCUGGAGGAACAUCAGUGGCGAAGGCGACUAUCUGGCACAUAACUGACGCUGAGGAGCGAAAGCGUGGGUAGCAAACAGGAUUAGAUACCCUUGUAGUC
rnacentral:rRNA from 1 species